UGAGGAGAUAAGUGACAUAAACUGGCAUGUUCUGAAAGAAUCACUCUGGAUGCUGUGUGGAGAAAACACUGAAAAGGGUUUGAAAUGGAAAUUACAAGCGCAAUAUUACAGAAGUGUGGAUUUUAGUUACAAUGUCUCUAUGAGAAAGUCUAAAAGUUAAACAUAAGCAAAACAACAAAAACAUCUAAAUACCAGGAAUUUGUUAUCUCGAUUAUGGAGGGCGACAAGUCCCACAGUCUGCCAUCUGCAGGAUGGAGAACCAGUCUUUAUAGGGGGAGAAUAAUUGACUCCAUUCAAGUGUUCGCUCCUGUUUCAAUCAACUAUGGCUGAAGAGUGAGGAGACAUUUGGAAUAAAUAUGGCUUCUGGGGGCCCAUUCCUAUGGAUCAGCAGCUGGCUUCUGGAGGCCCAUUCCUGUGAAUCGUCGAUCUCAUAGAAGAUAAUAUUGUUAGAAGGCUUACCUCAUUGAUGCUGAACAUCCUAAAAAGCUUCUGCUGCUUUGAGUCACUGAAAAAGACCAAGAAACAUGAAUUUAAAAAAAAAUUUCAAAUGUUAUAAAAUAAAUAAUAUGAACUCAUUAUA
rnacentral:lncRNA from 1 species